GAAACAAACUAAAGUAUCGAUCAUAUACCACUACCAACGUUUGGAUCGAUAUCUGCGUCGAUCUGCCCACCCUUGUCUCCUGGAUCGUAGCUGAGAUCAGCGUGAACCACGUGGGUCUCUGCUCCCUGAUCUGUUUCCUGUGUUUGGAAAGAGUUCCAGCUUCAUCACGGAGUUUCUCUCGGUUUGUGGGCUCAUCUAAAGGGAUAAAAUACAUAUCUAUACUUUUGUGUCCCAGCUGAGUAACAGGAGGAGAAGAGUCUGGUGGAGCAGCAGAGGAACAAUUUCAGCCAUUUGGACUCAGCUCAGCCACUACAGAGGAAACAAUGACUUCAAUACAGGAGGACCAACAUGGAGCGAGAAGUCAGCGCUCUCAGGAGGCCGACAAACCUCACAGAAGAAAGGGAGAGAAAAUAUACAGCUGUGAGGAGUGUGGGAAGGAUUUUACCCAGUCUGGGAGCUUAAAAACACACCAACUCAUCCACAGUGGAAUUAAACCGUACAGGUGUGACUUGUGUGGAAAAUGUUUUACCCAGAAAGGACACUUAAAAGCACACCAACUCAUCCACAGUGGAGUUAAACCGUAUAGCUGUGAGUUGUGUGAAAAGUCUUUUAACCAGCCUGGAAGCCUAAAAAGACACCAACUCUUCCACAAUGGAGUUAAAGCAUACAGCUGUGAGUUGUGUGGAAAAUAUUUUAGCCAGAAAGGAUAUUUAAAAACACAUGAACUCAUUCACAGUGGAGUUAAAGCAUACAACUGUGAAUUGUGUGGAAAGUCUUUUACCUAUCCUAGAAGCUUAAAAACACACAAACUCAUCCACAGUGGAGUUAAACCAUACAGCUGUGAGUUGUGUGGAAAGUCUUUUACCCAAGCUGGAAGCUUAAAAACACACCGACUCAUCCACAGUGGAGUUGAAGCACACAGAUGUGACUUGUGUGGAAAGUCUUUUACCCAAGCUGAAAGCUUAAAAAGACACCAACUCAUCCACAGUGGAGUUAAAGCGUACAGCUGUGAGUUGUGUGGAAAGUCUUUUACCCAUGCUGAAAGCUUAAAAACACACCAACUCAUCCACAGUGGACUUAAAGCGUACAGCUGUGAGUUGUGUGGAAAGUCUUUUACGUAUCCUAGAAGCUUAAAAACACACAAACGCAUCCACAGUGGAGUUAAACCAUACAGCUGUAAUCAGUGUGGUAAAACUUUUGCUCAAAGUAGCAACUUACGAUGUCAUCUAGUUACCCACUCUGGAAUUAAGGCGUACAGCUGUGACAUUUGUGGGAAAACUUUCAGCACGAUAGGUUCCCGCAAUAUUCACGUACGGAUUCACACCGGACAGGAUGUUUUCUGCUGUGAUCAGUGUGGGAAACUGUUUACAACAGCCACACACUUACAAAGCCACAUGUUUACCCACACUGAGGAGAGACCUUAUAAAUGUGACCAGUGCAAUAAGGCUUUUAAAUCUCCACGUUACCUGAAACUCCACCAAGAGAUCCACACGAGAAAGAAACUCUACAAGUGCAGUUACUGUGAGAAGCAGAGCGACACAGAUGGAUCCAGUAGUCAACCCUGUCGUCACUGUGGUGGUGGGAAAGACUUUCGUUGUGACCUUUGUGGAAAUACUUUCAGUAGGCAAACAAGCCUAAAAAUACAUCAGCGUAGACACACUGGAGACAAAAUGAACUACUGCAAAGAAUGUGGGAGAGGCUUCCCCACAUCAAGUGCAUUAAAAAAGCAUGUACUCAUUCACAGUGGGGUCAAAAAGUACGUCUGUGACCAGUGUGGGUCAUCCUUCAUCACUGCAGGUGAGCUUAAAGUGCAUAAACGAGUCCACACAGGAGAGAAACCAUACAAGUGCAGACACUGUGACAGAAGCUUCUCACGAUCGAGUAGUCGUAACCUUCAUGAACGUGCACACGUGGAAGAGAACUUCAGCUGUGACCAGUGGCAUCAGUGUGAUCAUGUAGGACUGAAAUCACUGGAUCACAAUGAUUCUGAAGAGACGGAAAGAUCUCCUUCUGGUUUCAGGGUCAGACUUAAAAACCUUGAGAUCAGGCUCCACAGAGUUCAGCUAGAGUCUCCUGUAAAGAGUGUCAGCUGAUGUCACACUUGGAUGUUAUGAGGUAGCUCUGAUUUCUGGACCUGCAGUAAAUAAUCCAGGAUCUUAAAUUUGGGAAUCUGCAAGUAUAGACAUGAAAAUCAAGGUUUUCUCCCUUGAGGGAUCUAAUGCUCUAAAUUUCUAUCCCUGUUAAAUUUUAAUCUUUGUUCAAUUAGAACACAAUAGUGUUUUGUAUGUGAAUAUGUUUUUUGUUUUUGUUUUUAACCAAACUGAUAUUGUACCAAAUAUCAGUGUUUGGCUAUAUACAUCAAUUUCUGUCAUUUCAACUUUCUUAGUUGUUUUUUUUUAAUGAACUUGUUUUUCAUCUAUUUAUCUUAUGUGCUACCUCAGUUAAAUUUGAAUGUUUUUUCAUAUUUAAACUUAUGCUUUGGUAAUCCAUGUUCUUAAAUCCAUUUCUUUCAAAACUCCAAAUCAUUUCACACCAGUUCCUGCAGUGACUAGUACAGGAUUCUACAUUUAAAAGCUGCAAAGUAUUUUCUCCCUUCCUGAUUUUUAUGUGCAUUACAAUUAAGUGCUUUAGUUCAUUAAACAGACUUUGAAAAACAAAAUGUUUGUAUGUAUUAAGGGAAAUAAAUAAAGCCAAGCCUAUCUUAGGGGUAGUAUUAGUUCAUAUACCACAGCACAGAAAAAGGCAUCAACCUAAUUAUGAAGCAGUUCUAAAUGAACAUGUACUCAUCAGAGUGUAGUAAUACAGAUAGGAAGAUGGCAGGAUUUUUAGAUAAGCACUUUUUGUAUCGUUAUCAGAGAAUCCAAGGGAAGCAUUAAAUACCCCAGUGACUGAGGAGGAAGUGCCACUUGCUAUCAAUUCUUUUAAAGGAGGAAAAGCAUCAGUACUUGUUGGUUUCUGUCCAGAAUUUU